GGACGGUUGGCGCAAUGGUAGCGCGUUGGUUUUCGGUCGACCUGUUUCAAGCAGCUCUAGAUAACACCAAAGGUUGCGGGUUCGAUCCCCGUGUCGUCCU
rfam:Pyrenochaeta sp. DS3sAY3a unplaced genomic scaffold IQ07scaffold_1, whole genome shotgun sequence.